GCUCGUGUCGUGAGAUGUGGUUAAGUCCCGCAACGAGCGCAACCCUCGACCUUAGUUGCCAGCAUUCAGUUGGGCACUCUAAGGUGACUGCCGGCUAAAAGUCGGAGGAAGGUGGGAUGACGUCAAAUCAUCAUGCCCUUAUGACCUGGGCUACACACGUGCUACAAUGGGCGGUACAAAGGGUCGCGAACCCGCGAGGGGGAGCCAAUCCCAAAAAGCCGCUCUCAGUUCGGAUUGCAGGCUGCAACUCGCCUGCAUGAAGCCGGAAUCGCUAGUAAUCGCGGAUCAGCAUGCCGCGGUGAAUACGUUCCCGGGCCUU
rnacentral:rRNA from 1 species